GUCUUGGCAGUAAACUUUGCACGUUUGGUGCGGGCGGGGUCAAGCCCUUCCGUGCCGGAGUUAACACGUUAAACGUGCCGCCUGGGAAAUACGAUCGCAAGAUUAAAACUCAAAGAAAUUGACGGGGGCCCGCACAAGCGGUGGAGUAUGUGGCUUAAUUCGAUGCAACGCGAAGAACCUUACCCGGAUUUGACAUGCAUUGCUAAGGCGCUGAAAGGCGCCGAGGAUAGCAAUAUCCACCUUGCACAGGUGCUGCAUGGCUGUCGU
rnacentral:rRNA from 1 species